rnacentral:rRNA from 1 species
UACGGAGGGUGCAAGCGUUAUCCGGAUUCACUGGGCUUAAAGGGUGCGUAGGCGGGCAGGUAAGUCAGUGGUGAAAUCUCCAAGCUUAACUUGGAAACUGCCGUUGAUACUAUCUGUCUUGAAUAUUGUGGAGGUGAGCGGAAUAUGUCAUGUAGCGGUGAAAUGCUUAGAUAUGACAUAGAACACCAAUUGCGAAGGCAGCUCGCUACUCAAUUAUUGACUCUGAGGCACGAAAGCGUGGGGAUCAAACAGG